rnacentral:rRNA from 1 species
UACGUAGGGACCGAGCGUUGUCCGGAAUCAUUGGGCGUAAAGAGCGUGUAGGCGGCUUGUUAAGUCUUGCGUGAAAUCUCGGGGCUCAACCCCGAGCGGUCGUGAGAAACUGGCAGGCUAGAGUGCGGGAGAGGAGAGUGGAAUUCCUGGUGUAGCGGUGAAAUGCGCAGAUAUCAGGAGGAACACCGGUGGCGAAGGCGGCACUCUGGGCCGGUACUGACGCUGAGGAGCGAAAGCGUGGGGAGCGAACAGG